AUGAAAGAAUCUGAGGAACAACUCUCUGCAAGGGUUAUCAUAGAGAUUCUAAAUGAUCCAGAUUAUUUAAAGGUCUUUGGGCAUGACUAUGGCAACUUUGUUAUUCAAUCAGCUUUGUGGGCUUCCAAGGGACAUGCAAAUUUAGGUAUACACAAUGCUAUUCACUGUCUGAUUCGAAAGCAUUAUUCAUUUCUUCAAAGUUCUCCAUUUGGGAGAAGGAUUUUGAGUGCUGCAUCAAAAUGUCGCAGAAGUACUUGAUAUAUAUAUAUAUAUAGUUAUGUUGUAAGGACAUAAAAAUUAACUUUUCGUUCAUAUUUCCGGGAUAGAGUUGUGGUUAAAACUCGUAUUUAGAGUUUUUAACGUUGUUGUUGAUAUAAUUUUAGUUGUUUGUUGUUUUGUAUUAA